rnacentral:lncRNA from 1 species
GCAAUAAUGUACAGCAAAGUAAGAACUAAAAAUAAGUCACUAUGACCAAAAUAGUCAAUUGACCCCUAAGGAGUUAUUGCCCUUCAUAGUCAAUUUUUAACAAUUUUCUUAAAAUUUGAAGAUUUUCAAUAACAUUUUCCACAGAAAGUACUGUUAUAGAUAGAGAUAAUUGUAAGCAGCAAGAAUGUUUAGUAAAGUAAGAUCUACAAACAU